rfam:Gasterosteus aculeatus cont1.006548, whole genome shotgun sequence.
UUUGUAACAUGUUGUAAGUCGCUUUGGAUAAAAGCGUCAGCUAAAUGACAUGUA